rnacentral:rRNA from 1 species
UACGGAGGAUGCGAGCGUUAUCCGGAUUUAUUGGGUUUAAAGGGUGCGCAGGCGGGAGAUUAAGUCGGCGGUGAAAUUUUGCAGCUCAACUGUAAAAGUGCCUUCGAAACUGGUUUCCUUGAGUGUAGAUGAAGUAGGCGGAAUUUGUGGUGUAGCGGUGAAAUGCUUAGAUAUCACGAGGAACUCCGAUUGCGCAGGCAGCUUACUAAACCACUACUGACGCUCAUGCACGAAGGCGUGGGGAUCAAACAGGAUUAGAUACCCGU